UACGUAGGGUCCAAGCGUUAUCCGGAAUCACUGGGCGUAAAGAGUGUGUAGGCGGGAGUUCGCGUGCAAUGCGAAAUCGUGUGGCUCAACCAUAUCGACUGUAUUGCAUACGGGACACCUAGAGGAUAUGAGAGGCAAGUGGAAUUGGUAGUGUAGCAGUGAAAUGCGUAGAUAUUACCAGGAACACCAAUGGCGAAGGCAGCUUGCUGGCAUAUAUCUGACGCUGAGACACGAAAGCGUGGGGAGCGAACAGG
rnacentral:rRNA from 1 species